AGUGAACGCUGGCGGUAGGCCUAACACAUGCAAGUCGAACGGCAGCACAGUAAGAGCUUGCUCUUACGGGUGGCGAGUGGCGGACGGGUGAGGAAUACAUCGGAAUCUACUUUUUCGUGGGGGAUAACGUAGGGAAACUUACGCUAAUACCGCAUACGACCUACGGGUGAAAGCAGGGGAUCUUCGGACCUUGCGCGAUUGAAUGAGCCGAUGUCGGAUUAGCUAGUUGGCGGGGUAAAGGCCCACCAAGGCGACGAUCCGUAGCUGGUCUGAGAGGAUGAUCAGCCACACUAGAACUGAGACACGGUCCAGACUCCUACGGGAGGCAGCAGUGGGGAAUAUUGGACAAUGGGCGCAAGCCUGAUCCAGCCAUGCCGCGUGGGUGAAGAAGGCCUUCGGGUUGUAAAGCCCUUUUGUUGGGAAAGAAAAGCAGCAGGUUAAUACCCCGCUGUUCUGACGGUACCCAAAGAAUAAGCACCGGCUAACUUCGUG
rnacentral:rRNA from 1 species